CCUACGGGAGGCUGCAGUGGGGAAUAUUGGACAAUGGGGGGAACCCUGAUCCAGCCAUGCCGCGUGUGUGAAGAAGGCCCUCGGGUUGUAAAGCACUUUCAGUGAGGAAGAACGCCUGGUGGUUAAUACCCAUCAGGAAAGACAUCACUCACAGAAGAAGCACCGGCUAACUCCGUGCCAGCAGCCGCGGUAAUACGGAGGGUGCGAGCGUUAAUCGGAAUUACUGGGCGUAAAGCGCGCGUAGGUGGCUUGAUAAGCCGGUUGUGAAAGCCCCGGGCUCAACCUGGGAACGGCAUCCGGAACUGUCAAGCUAGAGUGCAGGAGAGGAAGGUAGAAUUCCCGGCGUAGCGGUGAAAUGCGUAGAGAUCGGGAGGAAUACCAGUGGCGAAGGCGGCCUUCUGGACUGACACUGACACUGAGGUGCGAAAGCGUGGGUAGCAAACAGGAUUAGAUACCCUGGUAGUC
rnacentral:rRNA from 1 species